AAAAAUCAGUAAAAAAAUAUCAAAAGUAAUUAAAAAAAUACACAAAAUCACUAUCAAAUUCAAAAUCUCCAAACUCCAAAUUCAAAAUCAAUACUAAAAUCGUGACACGGAGUCCUUGAGGUGAGAAAGACGUGUAUUGACCUGCAUAUUGAUACAAGAACUCCAAUGACUCUAAUAUCAUCCCUAACAUCUUCAUACGUCAACUCAACCUUUC
rnacentral:lncRNA from 1 species